rnacentral:rRNA from 1 species
CCUACGGGUGGCAGCAGGGAGGAAUAUUGGGCAAUGGACGAGAGUCGGAACCAGCCAAGUAGCGUGAAGGAUGACUGCCCGAUGGGUUGUAAACUUCUGUUAUAAAGGAAUAAAACGAGGCACGUGUGCCGUUUUGCAUGUACUUUAUGAAUAAGGAUCGGCUAACUCCGUGCCAGCAGCCGCGGUAAUACGGAGGAUCCGAGCGUUAUCCGGAUUUAUUGGGGUUAAAGGGAGCGUAGAUGGGUUGUUAAGUCAGUUGUGAAAGUUUGCGGCUCAACCGUAAAAUUGCAAUUGAUACUGGCAGUCUUGCUUACAGUUGCGGUCGGCGGACUUCGUGGUGUAGCGGUGAACUGCUUCGAUCUCAC